GUGGGUGUAGCUCAGCGGUACAGUGAUAGAGCAUAUGCUCAGUAUGCAUAAGGUCCUGGGUUCAAUCCCCAGUACCUCCA
rnacentral:tRNA from 1 species